GAAAGCCGUAUGAGGGAAAACCUCACGUACGGUUUGAUGAGGAGGGGCUGAUAACUCAGCCUUUCACUCUAC
rnacentral:ncRNA from 1 species